rnacentral:rRNA from 1 species
AGUGAACGCUGGCGGUAGGCCUAACACAUGCAAGUCGAACGGCAGCACAGUAAGAGCUUGCUCUUACGGGUGGCGAGUGGCGGACGGGUGAGGAAUACAUCGGAAUCUACUUUUUCGUGGGGGAUAACGUAGGGAAACUUACGCUAAUACCGCAUACGACCUACGGGUGAAAGCAGGGGAUCUUCGGACCUUGCGCGAUUGAAUGAGCCGAUGUCGGAUUAGCUAGUUGGCGGGGUAAAGGCCCACCAAGGCGACGACCCGUAGCUGGUCUGAGGAUGAUCAGCCACACUGGAACUGAGACACGGUCCAGACUCCUACGGGAGGCAGCAGUGGGGAAUAUUGGACAAUGGGCGCAAGCCUGAUCCAGCCAUACCGCGUGGGUGAAGAAGGCCUUCGGGUUGUAAAGCCCUUUUGUUGGGAAAGAAAAGCAGCAGGUUAAUACCCCGCUGUUCUGACGGUACCCAAAGAAUAAGCACCGGCUAACUUCGUG